rnacentral:rRNA from 1 species
CGGCGGACGGGUGAGUAACGCGUGGGUAACCUGCCCUAAAGCCCGGGAUAACACCGGGAAACUGGUGCUAACACCGGAUACCUUCCGAAGAGGGCAUCCUUUUUGGAAGAAAGGUUAACGCUUUAGGAUGGGCCCGCGUCCCAUUAGCUAGUUGGUGAGGUAACGGCUCACCAAGGCAGUGAUGGGUAGCCGGCCUGAGAGGGUGGACGGCCACACUGGGACUGAGACACGGCCCAGACUCCUACGGGAGGCAGCAGUAGGGAAUAUUGCGCAAUGGGCGAAAGCCUGACGCAGCGACGCCGCGUGGGUGAUGAAGGCCUUCGGGUUGUAAAACCCUGUCCUUGGGGAAGAGGAAAGUGACGGUACCCAAGGAGGAAGCCCCGGCUAACUACGUGCCAGCAGCCGCGGUAAAACGUAGGGGGCGAGCGUUGCCCGGAAUUACUGGGCGUA